rnacentral:rRNA from 1 species
UACAGAGGUCUCAAGCGUUGUUCGGAUUCAUUGGGCGUAAAGGGUGCGUAGGCGGCGCGGUAAGUCGGGGUGUGAAAUCUCGGAGCUUAACUCCGAAACUGCAUUCGAUACUGCCGUGCUUGAGGACUGGAGAGGAGACUGGAAUUUACGGUGUAGCGGUGAAAUGCGUAGAUAUCGUAAGGAAGACCAGUGGCGAAGGCGGGUCUCUGGACAGUUCCUGACGCUGAGGCACGAAGGUCCAGGGGAGCAAACGGG